rnacentral:rRNA from 1 species
GAUGAACGCUGGCGGCGUGCCUAAUACAUGCAAGUCGAGCGAACAGACGAGGAGCUUGCUCCUUCGACGAUAGCGGAGGACGGGUGAGUAACACGUAGGUAACCUACCUAUAAGACUGGGAUAACUUCGGGAAACCGGAGCUAAUACCGGAUAAUAUUUCGAACCGCAUGGUUCGAUAGUGAAAGAUGGCUUUGCUAUCACUUAUAGAUGGACCUGCGCCGUAUUAGCUAGUUGGUAAGGUAACGGCUUACCAAGGCAACGAUACGUAGCCGACCUGAUAGGGGGGUAGCCCACACUGGAACGUAGACACGGUCCAGGCUCCUACGGGAGGCACCAGUAUGGAAUCUGCCGCAAUGGGCGAAAGCCUGACGGAGCAGCGCCGCGUGAGUGAUGAAGGUCUUCGGAUCGCAAAACUCUCUUAUUAGUGAAGAACAAACGUGUAAGGAACUGUGCACGUCUUGACGGUACCUAAUCAGAAAGCCCCGGCUAACUACGUG